rnacentral:lncRNA from 1 species
CGCUUCCUCUCUCUCUCUACACCAUCAUAUCUAUAUCUAUAUACCUAUAUCUAUAUAUCUAUAUCUAUAUAUACAUGUAUGCAUACAAUUUUUCGGCACAGAGAUGCACAUAUAAAUAUACAUAUAGAUACGCAUGUGCGUGUUCGACAUGCCUCUCUCUAUAUUUGUUAAUCCUGGUGUCUUGGUGAGAGACGUGAGGGGAGAAAGGCGGCUUGGGCUUUCGCCCAAAAAGGCGCGAGGCGGGGUUCCGAGAGAGAUCCCCGACGGCGCUCGGCGCCUCGGCGUUUUCUCGCGCGACCUGUUUUAGAGUGCAAAUGCGUGAAGGCGAGGUGUACCCACAGGAGUGAGACGCAAGAAAUCGACACCGACUGCACUCGCAGUGCCUGGGGGGGGGGGGUCGUCUUGAGGCUCAAAAGACGCACGCCUUUCUCGAUCUGCGCGCGCAGUCUGUCGGUUUUCUCCCUCUUGGUUGCUAAAAAGACCUCUCGAAGAGACGCCCAGGGAAAACAGGCUUUUCAUUCCUUUUAUGUCCAUGAAGCCGAUUCUCUGCGAGCGCCUCUCCGGGCGCCGAGACGCCUGGCCUUUCUGGAUUUCCCCCGCUCUUCUGCGUGUGCGCCUCCUGUUCAGCGGCAUCGGCAUUUCGGCGGUCCCCUUCCCGGUCAAAGCAGUGAGGUGGCGGCAUCCCUCCCCCGAUCCCUCGUUGGCCUGGCACUGUCGACGAGGCGUCGUGGGCGCAGAGACAGCCGCGCCGCAAAACGGAGGCUCUGGAAGAGACAGCCUCGGAAAAGAUGACGCACAAGAGACAGGCGGGACGCAAAAGACAGGAGCAACGAUGAACCGCGACGAGCUUGGAGGGACGGAGGCGCGCGGCGAUGCCAGGGCCGACGAAGAGAGCGCUGAGAGAGCGAGGAUCUCAAAGCUGUUGUGGCGAACAGAAGCGAGCGCGUCCUGGGGCUCUGUUCUCCCCACAGACCUCCACUUUCCAGCGCGCUUUCACCCGACUCGAAGGGAAUUCUCAGAGAGCUUUCCGCUCCAGAGGGAGCGACGGAGCGGCCUGUGUACAUCCAUCAAACGCAGUCGCCUGCCGCGGGGACUCGAGCCCCUCGGAGGCGUGUGAAGCGGCGAGAAAACGGAGACAGCGAGGGCAGCGAGGCACGCAGAUGCAGGCGUCUCUGACUUUUUUUUUUUGGGCGAGAGACGCGCGCCUCGUCGGAAGAGCGCAGCCCCUGGAGGGACCAGAGCCGAGGCGGUCGAUUGGGUUAGUUCCUAAAAGGAAACCGAGACUUGCGAGACGCCCACGUCACGAAGCGACAGAGGAAUGCCUCCAAGGAAAAUCGCACUUUCUCGCUCGACAACAUGUAUAUAUUUGUCUACACAUGUGCAUGUGGGUGCAAAUGGAUUGGCGCAUGUGAACAGGGAAAUAUGAAAGCGCCCUGGUGGUUGUCCAGGGUAUGUGUUGAGGUUCCAAUUUGUUCAGACUCCCGUUUAUUUCCGCCCUUUUGGGCCCCAAGUUUUCUCCGAGUUUCUCUGGGGGACAAAGAUAUCGCAGUGCACAGGCACGUGCCGGGUUGUGGCGCGUUUGCGUGGCUCGAAGGCAGAGAUCUUUGCGCUUCCGCGCCGGCUGUUUAGAGCCAAGAAACACGACUAAAACGACUUAGCGGACUUCCCUGGAAAGCGUCUC